AUUGAACGCUGGCGGAAUGCUUUACACAUGCAAGUCGAACGGCAGCACGGACUUCGGUCUGGUGGCGAGUGGCGAACGGGUGAGUAAUGUAUCGGAGCGUGCCCAGUCGUGGGGGAUAACGUAGUGAAAAUUACGCUAAUACCGCAUACGAUCUAUGGAUGAAAGCGGGGGAUCGCAAGACCUCGCGCGAUUGGAGCGGCCGAUAUCAGAUUAGGUAGUUGGUGGGGUAAAGGCCCACCAAGCCAACGAUCUGUAGCUGGUCUGAGAGGACGACCAGCCACACCGGAACUGAGACACGGUCCAGACUCCUACGGGAGGCAGCAGUGGGGAAUUUUGGACAAUGGGCGAAAGUCUGAUCCAGCCAUUCCGCGUGCAGGAUGAAGGCCCUCGGGUUGUAAACUGCUUUUGUACAGAACGAAAAGGUUUCUACUAAUACUAGGAGCUCAUGACGGUACUGUAAGAAUAAGCACCGGCUAACUACGUGCCAGCCGCCGCCGUAA
rnacentral:rRNA from 1 species